rnacentral:rRNA from 1 species
AGCGGCGGAUGGGUGAGUAACACGUGGGGAACCUGCCCCUAAGUCUGGGAUACCAUUUGGAAACAGGUGCUAAUACCGGAUAAUAAAGCAGAUCGCAUGAUCAGCUUUUGAAAGGCGGCGUAAGCUGUCGCUAAGGGAUGGCCCCGCGGUGCAUUAGCUAGUUGGUAAGGUAACGGCUUACCAAGGCGACGAUGCAUAGCCGAGUUGAGAGACUGAUCGGCCACAUUGGGACUGAGACACGGCCCAAACUCCUACGGGAGGCAGCAGCAGGGAAUCUUCCACAAUGGACGCAAGUCUGAUGGAGCAACGCCGCGUGAGUGAAGAAGGUUUUCGGAUCGUAAAGCUCUGUUGUUGGUGAAGAAGGAUAGAGGUAGUAACUGGCCUUUAUUUGACGGUAAUCAACCAGAAAGUCACGGCUAACUACGUGCCAGCAGCCGCGGUAAUACGUAGGUGGCAAGCGUUGUCCGGAUUUAUUGGGCGUAAAGCGAGCGCAGGCGGAAAAAUAAGUCUAAUGUGAAAGCCCUCGGCUUAACCGAGGAACUGCAUCGGAAACUGUUUUUCUUGAGUGCAGAAGAGGAGAGUGGAACUCCAUGUGUAGCGGUGGAAUGCGUAGAUAUAUGGAAGAACACCAGUGGCGAAGGCGGCUCUCUGGUCUGCAACUGACGCUGAGGCUCGAAAGCAUGGGUAGCGAACAGGAUUAGAUACCCUGGUAGUCCAUGCCGUAAACGAUGAGUGCUAAGUGC